rnacentral:rRNA from 1 species
GAUGAACGCUAGCGACAGGCCUAACACAUGCAAGUCGAGGGGCAUCGGGACGUAGCAAUACGUUGCCGGCGACCGGCGGAUGGGUGAGUAACGCGUAUGCAACCUACCCGUAGCAGGGGGAUAGCCCGUUGAAAGACGGAUUAAUACCCCGUAACACAGGGGCUCCGCAUGGAGAUUAUUGUUAAAGGGUCAUUUCUUUUAGAGGUGGUCCGGCUACGGAUGGGCAUGCGUUCCAUUAGGUAGUUGGUGUAGGUAACGGCUCACCAAGCCGACGAUGGAUAGGGGAACUGAGAGGUUGGUCCCCCACACUGGUACUGAGACACGGACCAGACUCCUACGGGAGGCAGCAGUGAGGAAUCUUGGUCAAUGGACGCAAGUCUGAACCAGCCAUGUCGCGUGAAGGAGGACGGCCCUAAGGGUUGUAAACUUCUUUUGCAGUGGAAUAAAGUUUGCCACGAGUUGGCGAUUUGCAAGUACGCUGCGAAUAAGGAUCGGCUAACUCCGUGCCAGCAGCCG